rnacentral:rRNA from 1 species
CAAGUCGAACGAGAAAGCGGGGGCAACUCCGCGAGUAAAGUGGCGACCGGGUGAGUAACACGUGACUAACCUGCCCUCGAGCGGGGGAUAACCCCGGGAAACCGGGGCUAAUACCGCAUAACAUCUUCGAUAUGAAAGUAUUGAGGAUCAAAGGAGCAAUUCACUUGAGGAGGGGGUCGCGGCCGAUUAGCUAGUUGGCGGGGUAACGGCCCACCAAGGCUGAGAUCGGUAGCCGGCCUGAGAGGGCGCACGGCCACACUGGAACUGAAACACGGUCCAGACUCCUACGGGAGGCAGCAGUGGGGAAUUUUGCGCAAUGGGGGGAACCCUGACGCAGCAACGCCGCGUGGAGGAUGAAGUCCCUUGGGACGUAAACUCCUUUCGACCGGGAAGAUAAUGACGGUACCGGAAGAAGAAGCACCGGCUAACUCUGUGCCAGCAGCCGCGGUAAUACAGAGGGUGCGAGCGUNGUUCGGAAUUAUUGGGCGUAAAGGGCGC